rnacentral:lncRNA from 1 species
GUCCUUACCCGUACUAGCUUGGAAAAUAAAUUUGCUGUAGGUGAUGUAACCCCCCUACACAAUCUAGCUUGCACUUAGUAUUAUUAAGAGGGCUUGCAUAUAUGAUGUCAAACAAAAAGAGGGCUCACAUAUAUGUCCUCUGUUUAACAAGGAGAUGAACUGGAAUAAAUACUAGGUACAUAAUAUCUAUUGUAAAUUAUAUUUAUUACUUAAUACGUGCAGCUUGAAAAAGUAAAGCACUAAUGGAGCAAUAAGUGGAAGUCCAAUUCAGAAAGAAGUGUUUUGUUUUAUAUACUAGAUUGGACAAUGCUUUUCUGCUCGAAGUCUAUUACUGAAUCUUAAAUCAAGAGGAAGUUAUCUAACUGGUCUUCCAUCUCAUUUUCUUCUUAAGGAACCAGGAAGUUUCGCGAAGUCAAUACAGUGGGCGACAGAGCAGCUAAGUCAUUUAAGGUAACACACCAGGCCUGGAUUAACAUGCCAACUUUCUUGUGAUUUGCCUACAGUUAGAUGAAUUUACCAUCAGUUUACAUAGUGUACAUAAUAUAUGGACAAGUCAGGUUGCCACAGAAUUUUAAUCUAACAUAAUCAUAUCGACGGACAGCAACGCAUGUGUAGUGCACAGCGGCAGCGGCAGCGGCUGCACGGCCACGACGGACAAGCAACAACGCGGAGCAGGGACAGGUGGUGGUAAGAGUAAGUAUCACUUGUCAUGUUUAACUCAUGGCCAACAAAGAGCAAGUAUCACUUGAAACUCACUACAGAGCAAGUAUCACUUGAAACUCACUACAAGAAGAAUACUGUUGUGACGAUUAUAUACAUAUAUGUUCCACUUGGUUGCUCAGUUGGUAUUAAUUUUUUAUCACUUCCUUUUUCUUGCAGUCAAGUUUUGAAACUGGGCUUUGAUGAGAAGUUCAUUCGUAUAUGGGAAUUCUACCUUGUAUACUCUGCCACUGGUUUCAAGUCAUGAGUAGUUAGAGAUUACCAGGCACGGAUGUGUAUAUGUGUGCUCUUUGUAUAUGUUUACCUGCAUUAUUACUAGACAAAUGGAAGUCAUAUACUCCCUCUGGUCUUCAAAAAACAUCUUUCUGGAAACUGUUUGGUGGUUUCCAAUGCAGACUAAAAUUUAAGUUGAUGUCGCUUUCUACAAUUAUGUUAAUCUCAACCAUAAGAUUGAGAGAUCAGUAGACAACAGAUCUUUGGGUGAAUAGUAGUAAAUUAGAACCUUUGGUGAACUUGUAGAAAGCAAGCUUUCAUCGUUUGAGAUUGUAAAUGACCUGGGACAGACCUGAGUCAUUUACAAUCUCAAUUGAUAACUUUGAAUCUUUGCGUCUUCUGUAUAUAUAUAUUUCAGCACAUUUUAUAUCAACUGUUAACUUUGAAUCUUUGUGUCUUCCAUCAGAUCAUGCUUACUGUUGGAUUCG